UGUACAAUAAUACCCAACGUUACGCUACCUAAACAUGGCCAGAUCAUUCUUUUUUUUUUUUUACUGUAGACAUGAACUGAAGCUAUCAUUAGGUAACCUAACGUUAGCUUGUUAACUGUUGACGUCAGCGAGCUAGCGCGAGCUAUUGUGAACAUUUCGUGUGGUGCCAUCUACAUUAUGGUGUAUAUAUAGAUGGAUGAGUUCGUGAAGGCAAAACUUCUGGAAUGGAACCUGGCUGAAUUGCUCCCUGCUUUUGAAGAUUGGAACUAACAUGGUGGGCUACCUGAGCGGAGCAACAACAGAGUACCCAUAUGUCCUCAUGCUGGGGGAAGAGCAUCAGUGUUCCCAAGCGUUUGUAAUCAUAAAUGGGACAGCCAUGGAGCACCCAUCUCUUUUGGGUGCAGUUGAUGGGUGUUUCAAGGCAUUUUUUGUGUUUGAUGUCACUUACCCAAAACCAUGUGCCCAGGUUUGGAAGUUCAUACAGACAGUCAUCUUCAACAUCCCAGGACAUGAAUCAAAUGCCAUAAAGUUAAUGAGAGCUCAGUUAGCUGUGAUCUAAGUACAUUCAUGCCAGAUUUUAAAGUGGGCUACUCCCUGGUUACAUUGUUCAUGAUUUAAGUAUGUAUGUUUUCUAGAUUUUAAACAAUGCCAUAAAGUUAAUGAGAGCUCAGUUAGCUGUUGUUUUCUAGAUUUUAAACAAUGCCAUAAAGUUAAUGAGAGCUCAGUUAGCUGUUGUUUUCUAGAUUUUAAAGUUGGCUACUCCCUACAUGAUUACAUCUUUGUGUCCAUAGAAAAACUUAAAAAAAAAAAAAAAGAAAUGAAAUUGUUUGACAAAAGUUGCUCAUGUUGAACAUGAAUAUGAAAUUAAUUUUAUAAUAUUUAUUUUUUAUAUUACAGAUUUUUUUUUUUUUUUACAUGUAUUUUCAUACAUUAUUGCUUGCAAUAAAAGAA